AGUUGCUUCCAACUCAGAUGCAAUAAUUCAUGAAGGUCACUAAAAUAAUUCUAUAUUUCCAAAAAAAAAAAAAAAAAUUGUGUUUAACCUAUACUCGUUGCAAAAAUUGUUCCCUCAUUUCUUCUCAUCUCCACAAUUUCAACUUUCUCUCCUCUUUGCAAAAUCCAUCUUAAUUACCUCUUCGCAACAUCACUGGCUAUGGCGGCUUUUGGUGCUGUAACCAUUUUAAUGGACACACUCCAUCAACAUUUCCUCCAACAUCACACACCCAUUUUCCCUCUUCGCAACAAAACAAAGCUCAGAUUACUUUACAAAAAUCUUUCUUCUUUGCAAACCUCUCUUCAACAAGAUUUCAAAGUGAGGGGCUGUGAUGAAGCAAUCAAAGCUUUGGAAGCACAAGUGAGAGAUGUCUCCAUUGAACUAAGGUUCCAAAUAGAAGACCAAUUGAGAUUGUUUUACCUGGGGAAAUCCAUGAAGCUUAGGCUUCACUCUGCUCAAAAGCUUCUCCCCAUAUUGAAUCGAGCAAUUAAAGGCGACUUAGAAACUAUGGAUUUCAAUUAUGUGAUGGAGAUCCUAGGGAAGCACUUUACACUGCCAGUAUCAGGCAUGCCGCCUCAUAUAAACAAAAGGGUCAAAUCCUUUUGCACGCAGCAUCAACUCUUUCUAUAUGGAAAAGAGAGUAAGGAUGAUGAGAAAGAUAGUGAUGAUGAUGAUGAACAAGAGAGCAAGAAUGAACAACAGAUUGAUGAUGGUGCUGAUGAUGAUAAUGAUGAUGAGCAAGAGGCAAAGAGAAGGAGGAAUAUGUUGUAUGAAGCAGAAAGUGUAAUCAUACAAGAACUGAGAGCUUCUUAUCUCAACAAAUACAUGAAACAACGGAUACAGGCUACACAAAGGAUUCGUCAACUCUUCAUCCAAGGAAUUAGCCUCACAUCUUACAUCAAGAAAGAGAUGUUGAAUGUUAAGAAUAAUGCAUACCACCAAUCCAACAACUCACAAAACAACAAUCCUGCUUCUCUUAGAGGGCUGGAACUCGAUAACAUUAUGGUUGGUGAUUCAAAGUCUGCAAUCAAAUUGGUGGGCUGCGAUGAUGAGUUCAACACCAUAAUGGACAACCUGAGCCAGCAAUCCUCAAAACGAGUAAUUGUCUCGAUUGUGGGAAUGGGUGGUAUUGGUAAAACCACCUUAGCUAGAAAGAUUUAUGAAGAUGCUUCAUUCAUUUCUUGGUUUGAUUGUCGAGCUUGGGUUACUAUCUCACAGGACUAUAAUCCAACACAAGUGUUCCAAUGCCUGCUUCGUUCUCUUGCCCCAGGGGCCAGUGACAACAAUAGAGCUAGCAACUACGAAUUGGCUGAGCAAGUAUACAGGCAUCUAAAACAUCGAAGAUAUUUGAUCGUAGUAGAUGAUAUUUGGAAUACAGAUGUCUGGGAUGAUUUAAUGAGAUGUUUUAAGGAUGACAAUAAUGGAAGUCGAAUAUUGUUGACCACUCGGCAAAAAAAUGUGGCUGAGUAUGCUGAUUCAGGUAAUAAUUUUUGCCAUACCUUACGUUUUUUGGAUUCAAAUGAAAGUUGGAAUCUUUUUCAGAGCAAAGUGUGUAAGAGAUCAAUAACUCUAUUGUCCCCUGAACUUGAAAAAAUUGGUAAAGAGAUAGUAGGCAAGUGCAAAGGAUUACCUCUUGCAAUUAUUGUGGUUGCUGGACUCCUCUCAAACUCCAACCAAACUAUUCAUGAAUGGGAGCAUAUUGCAAAAUGUGUCCCUGCUUUGAGUUUACAUCAUUCUAAUCAGCAGGGUGAGAACAUCAUUGAUUUGAGUUACACCUUCUUGCCUCAUCACCUUAAACUUUGUUUUUUGUCAUUUGGGUGUUUUCCAGAAGAUUAUGAGUUUUUUGAACAGAGGAUAGUUGAUUUUUGGGUUUCGGAGGGAUUUCUAAAGGUUUUGAGGUCUGAUGAGAGCUUGGAAGGUGUGGCAAGGAUGAACUUUCAUGAUCUUGUGGAUAGAAAUCUUCUAAUUUGUGUAGAUAGAAAUGAUGGAUUAUAUCAAAUGCAUGAUGUUUUGCGUGAAUUGGCUUUGAGAGAAGCCCAAAAAGAAACUCUUAGUUUCAAGAAGGGUUAUGAUAUAAUUAGUUUGAGGUGGAAGAGAAAUCAAUCAAUAAACUCUUCCCAUAUAUCCCAACCAUGGAGCAUCCAAUCAAGAAUUUGCAGUUACAACAGUAUUUCUUCACUGAUUGAUAGAAUUUCUUUUGGCAGGACUUCAAGACAGGUGGGGGUGUAUGCACAUUUUAAGUUUUUAAGGGCAUUGAAAGUAUCUAAGGAGAUAAAUGUCCAUAAUAUUUUUUUGGAGAUUGUGGGUCUAGUGCAUCUAAGAUACUUAUCUAUUCCUUGUGGGUUAAAUAUUCAGUAUUUGCCUUUGUUCAUGUUCCGAAAUCUACAGGAGCUACAAGUUGAUUAUUAUUCACCAUGUGAACCCCUUGAUAUUUGGGGAUUACCUCAAUUAAGGAAUCUCUAUGUUUAUAGUGCUAUUACACUAGUUCCUCCAAGAUCAGUUCAUCAUAAUUUGGCGAGCAUUAGAUGGUUGGAUUAUAGGAGUUGUACAAAGGAGUUGUUCCUGAGGACCCCAAAUCUAAGGACAUUGGAAGUUACUACAAAUCAUAAAAUUAAAUGCAAAGCUCCCAAUUGGUUUGAAAGUCUUGUCUAUUUAUAUAAAGUGGAAACACUAGUGGUUCAUUUUGUCGUACUUCCGGAGUUUAGAACUAUUUAUUCUAUGGGGAUGCUAAGCCUAGAUAAUUUUUUGUCAAAUCUUAAGAAGUUAAGAUUCUGUGGAACACAUUUAAAAUGGAAGGAUAUGGAUGUUGUUGGUGAGUUGUCUAAGCUUGAGGACCUCAAAUUGGACGAUGCUGUUAAUGAUCAAACAUGGAAACCCAAAGAUGGAGGAUUUCGUCGAUUAAAGUUCUUGGGGAUAGAUUGGAGUCCUCUACGAUAUUGGGAAGCCACUAGUAAUCAUUUUCCCGUCCUUGAAAAUCUAGUCCUUGGUCACGUAGUUUUGAAAGAAAUUCCUAGUGGUUUUGCAGAAAUAACUACUCUCAAAUCAAUCCAAUUAUAUGGUCGUUGUUUAGAGUCACUUAUAUCAUCUGCUAAGCGUAUUCAAAACGAGCAGCAAGAGUAUGGAAAUGACACAUUUGUUGUUGAUAUUUCUAGGCCCACUGGUUAUUUAAGGUGAGAGUUGGGUGGGCACUGGGCAGGCGGGUGGGGCUUUUGAUCUUGGAGUGCAUGCUUUGAAAGCUUGGGUUUGAGGAGGAUUGGGUGAGGUUGAUUACGGUGUUUUUAUCUUCAAUGGCAAGGGAAGUGAAGAAAAUGGAGAUUUUUGGAUGAUUUGCAGCACUAAUUAAGGAGUCCUUGAGAUGAUCGAGAGCAUCAUUGGAUAAUCAAGAACAAGGAUCGCGUUCAAGAGCCAAGACAAGUUAUGUCUCUAUCUGAUGACAUCACACGACGUCGACAUGCACCUGUAGGGACCCGUUCUUGGGCACAUACAUUGCACGGGGCGCGAGAAAGCCCGUACGUACACGGGCGCUCACACGCUCGUGCCAUUGCCUGUGCAACGCUCCCAAUCUUGUGUAUUAAAAUUUGGUGGGGGAGAGCAAAGAACUUUUUCCUAAUUUUUCAGAUAGCUUUCUUGCUUAGAUUAGAUUAUUUUUCUUCAAAAGAAUCCAUCUACUCAGCUUACAUACUUGGAUUA